GACGAACCGUGCGAACGUUGUUCGGAUUCACUGGGCUUAAAGGGCGCGUAGGCGGACGGUCAAGUCGGGGGUGAAAGCCUGUGGCUUAACCACAGAAUGGCCUCGAUACUGUUUGGCUUGAGACCGGAAGAGGUUAGUGGAACUGCGAGUGUAGAGGUGAAAUUCGUAGAUAUUAGGAAGAACACCGGUGGCGAAGGCGGCCAUCUGGCUCGGUACUGACGCUCAGGCGCGAAAGCGUGGGGAGCAAACAGG
rnacentral:rRNA from 1 species